GACGAACGUUGGCGGCGUGCUUAAUACAUGCAAGUCAACUGAAGCAGUGGUAGCAAUAUCGCUGUGGAGGUGGCGCACGGGUGAGUAACACGUAGGUAAUCUGCCUUCAGGUCUGGCAUAACUCCGGGAAACCGGGGCUAAUAGCAGAUGAUGCAGCGGCUCGACAUCGAGACAGUUGUUAAAGCUAUGGCGCCUGAAGAUGAGCCUGCGUCUGAUUAGCUAGUUGGCGGGGUAACGGCCCACCAAGGCAACGAUCAGUAGCUGGUCUGAGAGGAUGAUCAGCAACACUGGAACUGAGACACGGUCCAGACUCCUACGGGAGGCAGCAGUAAGGAAUAUUGCUCAAUGGGAGAAAUCCUGAAGCAGCAACGCCGCGUGAGGGACGAAGGGCUUUGGCUUGUAAACCUCUGUAGUGAGAGAAAAAAAUCCCAAUCUUUGGGACAUGAUGGUAUCUCAAAAGUAAGCCCCGGCUAACUACGUG
rnacentral:rRNA from 1 species